UACGUAGGGCGCAAGCGUUAUCCGGAAUUAUUGGGCGUAAAGAGCUCGUAGGCGGUUUGUCGCGUCUGCCGUGAAAGUCCGGGGCUCAACUCCGGAUCUGCGGUGGGUACGGGCAGACUAGAGUGAUGUAGGGGAGACUGGAAUUCCUGGUGUAGCGGUGAAAUGCGCAGAUAUCAGGAGGAACACCGAGUGCGAAGGCAGGUCUCUGGCGGAUUGACUGACGCUGAGGAGCGAAGACUGGGGAGCGAACAGG
rnacentral:rRNA from 1 species